rnacentral:piRNA from 1 species
UAGGUGAUCUCGUUCACAACAGUGGCAGA